rnacentral:rRNA from 1 species
GACGAACCGUGCGAACGUUGUUCGGAAUCACUGGGCUUAAAGGGCGCGUAGGCGGGCUGUCAAGUCUGGGGUGAAAUGCUGCGGCUCAACCGUAGAACUGCCUUAGAUACUGACGGCCUCGAGGAAGGUAGGGGCAUGCGGAACUGUAGGUGGAGCGGUGAAAUGCGUUGAUAUCUACAGGAACCCCGGUGGCGAAAGCGGCGUGCUGGACCUUUUCUGACGCUGAGGCGCGAAAGCUAGGGGAGCAAACGGG